rnacentral:tRNA from 1 species
GCUUGUGAGGCUCAAUUUGUUGAGCGGAAUAUUGAAGCUAUUUAGGUUGUAAGUCCGAACCUUAUCACGAGCA